GGGUGAAGCCCCCCAUAGUCAAGCAGUUGGUGGGAUUGUUGUGCGGAUGGGGGGAGACAGGGUCCUGUCGCCCAGAAUGUUCACUAACUGUCUCCUAUUUAACCCGUCUCACAGAGAAUAUCACCAAGGAGACCAGAAGAGCGCAGCGGGUUGGAUAAAGGAAACGUUACGGCGAAGAUUCACUUGAACCUCUGUGUAGCUGUGAGACUUGAAAAGGCUGGAUGCAUCAUACAUCGGAACAGUUUGGAGUGCGCAGCGCGCGAGAAACAUUCCCCGUCGAGAACCUGAGCCGAGCCAGGGUGGGAUGGAGCUCAGUUCCCCAACGAUCAUGGCCCCUGAGCAGCAGGUGCUCCGCCAAUGUUGGUCAGAAUCCGUAUAAUCUGUAUCCCAGCCACAUGUCCAACAUCGGACACUCUGGAAAGUCGUUCUGUCCCUCAGGGUAAGAGACUUUGCUCCCUGCCCCCCCCCCUCACCUCGA